CUGUUUUUACAAAAACAUUUCUUUUUGAUAAAAAUUUAAAGUAAGUUCUGCUCAAUGAAUGGAUUUUUAAAUAGCUGCAGUAUUUUGACUGUACAAAGGUAGCAUAAUAAAUUGUUUUUUAAAUGAAAACUAGAAUGAAGGAAUUAAUGAAAUAUAAACUUUAUUAAAUUAAUUAAAUAAAAAUUUAUUUUUAAGUUAAAAAGCUUAAAUUAAUUAAUGGGACGAGAAGACCCUAUAGAAUUUUAUAAUUUAUUUUUUUUAUUUAAUUUUAAAAUUUAAAAUUAAAAAAUUAUUUGUUUGGGAGGAAAUUUAAAUUUAAAAAACUUUUUUUUUUAUUAAACAUUUAUAAAUGAUUUUAUUAAAUGAUUUUAUUAAAAAUAAUUAAAAGAUUAAAUUACCUUAGGGAUAACAGCGUAAUAUUUUUUUAUAGAUCAUAUUGAAAAAAAUGUUUGCGACCUCGUUUGAAU
rnacentral:rRNA from 1 species